rnacentral:lncRNA from 1 species
UGGAACCAGGAGUUGAAACCUUCGACAUAGACCUCAAGGAGCAGAAGGUGACAGUCAAAGGCAAUGUCAAGCCUGAGGACGUCUUCCAGACGGUUUCCAAGUCGGGGAAGAGGACCUCCUACUGGGAGGGCGAAGCCACGGCCCCGGACGCUGCGGCGGCUUCUGGAGCCGAAGCAGCUCCCGGCACCGCGGCAGAAGCGCCUCCUGCUGCUGCUCCGGCGGCGCCAGAGAUCACCCCAGCCAAAGCUGACGCCUGAUCGUCACGCUAUUAUUCACUCACAUGUGAUGCUGCGGCUGCGACUCCUAAACCUUAAAUCUAGAAAUAGCUGGGGAUUGGGUUUGCAUUGCAUCGUGUUCUUGCCGGUCUAGCAAGUGACUAUAAGAAUAAUGGAAU